CCCGUCCUUCUGACUCCCAGCCCCCUGCUCUCUCCACUAAGUCAUGCUGCUUCUCACUAAGCUAUGGUUCUUUGGUACUUUAAAGUGAAGAUGGGUUUAAUUAUUGCUUCCCCCACCCUCCCAUCAAGUGUAAUUCUCAGCAGAAGGAGGUUGCUAAGAUGACACAGAGCCAUAAAGAGAAAUACAUUGGGUCAGAGGGCUUAAUGUUCCUCUUGCUGACAGUGGAUAGAAUUUCUGUUGCUCUCUGACCUGACAGAUGAUAGCAGAAUCCUAAGGUUUUCCCCAUGUCGCUUUCUCAGUGUCAUGACCUCUGAAUACUAUAGAGUUGAUGUAUUUGGGACCACUGAGAUUUUUUCUGUUUUAUAUUUAAAUUGCAUUUUCCCAGUGUUCUUCUGUUGGGGGCUUUCUAUUCUGACUUAGAUUGUGACCCCCCCCCCGUGAGUCGGGAAUCAUCUCGCAACUGAGGACUGAUCCGACCCCAGUCCUCUGUUUUGAAAUCAAAUACGUGAAACUGAUCCCUUACUACUUGUCUAACCAAGUAAACACAUCUGAUUUAAAGCAAUUAAGAAAUUGCAAAUUGGCAAAUGAAAAUGCACCCUAGAGAAAUAAGAAUAUUGGUUCAAUUAAACAUGCGACAUUACUAAUGUGUGUCAAAACCUAGAAUAGAAAGAAACAGUAUCCCAUGGUCCAGGGAGGGUGAGAUACAGACUAUUUUUCAAGAACAGUGCUUCAAGCCUUCUUUAUCACUUGGGUUAUUCUGUUCUACAGAAACCCUUACAUAUUCAGUUCAAAAUUCUCCCUAGAAGGUGAUUAAAUAAUGCUUUUCUUGGCUUAGUGGCAGAUUAGAAAUCCCGUAUAGAAUAGCUUUAUUUCCAACACUCACCUCUGCGUACAUAACCAAGCAGUUUUGCAAAUCUGAAAAAGAAUGCUGUUUCAAUAACGGACUAAUUUCAAAAGGUGUUUCCAUAGGGACCAUAUGUAACAGCCAGUUUGAAGACACACGUUUUAAUUUAAACAUAUUUUUUACAGUCCUUUAUCUUGAUUUCCAGCUGCUUGUUGAUUUAGUUUCCAAAAAUCCGUAGGCCUGAUUUAUUUUAUUUUUUCCCCCUCUCGUGUUCUGAAUUUGGCUUUAGUUUUCAGCUUGGCCCUUGCUCCAGUGGAGAGAGUACAAUGUUUGGAACAGCUUGUAGGACACUGACUUGAAACCUCCACCAAUCCUGGAAAUUGGUUGAAUAUAUUUAAGCAGAGUACUGGGCUUUGGGCCGGGGAACUAAGCCAGAAAAUAAAACUGUUAUCACCUGAGUGUGGAUUUUUAAAAAGAAUUUCAGCGAGCAUAAGGGGAAAAAUAUUCCUCUUUCUGAAGAAUACCUCAUUAGUAUCUUACCCUCUGUAAACAGAAUGGACAGAAAUAGGAAGAUACAAAAUCUUCUUAACCCGAGGUGAUGUUUUUUCUUUAUUAUAAACAGAUUAGUUUCAAGCUGGUCUUGUAAGAGGGAAAAAGAAAGAGAAAAGGAAGAAAUGAACACCUAUGGGCUGUGACAAGAUCAAUUUGGAGGCAACUGGAAAGUGGCAUGCAGACACACUUUUAAGAUUCGAAAGAAUCUUGUUCUAAUUAGAAAAACAAAACUACCCGCUCAUUAAUGGUGAGCACACCAUAACCGAUUUGGUGGAUUCCUCAUGCGACACAGUGGUGACUCAGAAGCGAGCUAACCCCAAGAACGGGUCGUCACCCAGAAAACCAACAAUGCUCACUGAAUUGCUACUGUUGCCAGAGAACAAGAAUGCCGCAGAUUCCAACUCCACCAUCACGAAUGAUCAGUGAACCCCACGGGGUUCUGAUGCUCCCUGAGGGCUUCCAGGGGCAGUUCUUUCUUGAUCUCACUUCUUCUCCACCAGACCUGGAUCCUCUAGGAACCUUGGCGGCAGUCCCUGAAACUCUAAUUAUCCCUAAGCUGGGGUCUCCAGAACAGAAAGCAGCGAUGAAAGUAGACCAUUUAACCUAGACGACUGUUGCAUGGGGAGCCGGCCAGGCUGGGGCCCGUCUGCCCGCCUAAGACCCCUUAAUGAAAACGGCUUAAAUGGAGAGCGGCCUUGCUGUGUUCGAUGACAUCCAAUGGCUUCAAGAUCAUUGACUCUUUGAAGAUGUUGGCUUUUUCCUCCAGCUGCUUCUCCCUGGGAAGUGCCGCAGCUGGGCCCGAGGUUCUGCUUUAAUUAAGAGUGGGAGGAGAACCCCCAAGUGUGUUUGUGAUUUUUACUGUUCAUCCGAGUCGGGUGGAGAAGUCUGCUGACACGGGACAACUUAGACGAUCCAGAUGGAAGGAGGAUCAUGAAGAGAUUUGGAAUCAUCAGGAUGUAGGACAAGUCGGGAAGUUUUUAAUGCAAAUGACACACUCCAGGGGACUCUCCAGAAGAUGUUGACUAAUUUAACUCAGUUGCUAAUAAGAGAAUGGGUGCAUCUGUGACCAUAGCUAAAUGGAGCCGACUUAAUUACGACGUUGGACGACACUGCAUCAUAUUGACAAAAGCAGAGAGGAGGAGGAAGGGACCAGGAGGCAGCAAAGGAGCCGGAACGAGAAAAAUGAUGGAUCUUCAGCACUGAAUUUGUCAGACAAAUGGGAGCGCCAUUAACUCGUCGCAGAGUUAACGAGAAUUAGAAAGCCAAGCCAGAGUACUAUAGCAAUGAGAAGAGCGAAGAGGCAAGAAGUUGAGUGGUAUUUCAUUAAGUCGCCAAAAGAAAUGGCAAUGUCAACUGCGUCUCCAGCAGACAAACAAAUUAGCUGCAUCUGCAGAAGCAGAAGGAGACCCUAUAUAUUCAGCGGCGAUGGAUAUUGCUGAGGAAGAGAGAUAUGUGCUAUUUCUAUUAAACUUUUAAAAAUCA